rnacentral:rRNA from 1 species
GACGAACGCUGGCGGCGUGCUUAACACAUGCAAGUCGAACGGAAAGGCCCUGCUUUUGUGGGGUGCUCGAGUGGCGAACGGGUGAGUAACACGUGAGUAACCUGCCCUUGACUUUGGGAUAACUUCAGGAAACUGGGGCUAAUACCGGAUAGGAGCUCCUGCUGCAUGGUGGGGGUUGGAAAGUUUCGGCGGUUGGGGAUGGACUCGCGGCUUAUCAGCUUGUUGGUGGGGUAGUGGCUUACCAAGGCUUUGACGGGUAGCCGGCCUGAGAGGGUGACCGGCCACAUUGGGACUGAGAUACGGCCCAGACUCCUACGGGAGGCAGCAGUGGGGAAUAUUGCACAAUGGGCGGAAGCCUGAUGCAGCAACGCCGCGUGCGGGAUGACGGCCUUCGGGUUGUAAACCGCUUUCGCCUGUGACGAAGCGUGAGUGACGGUAAUGGGUAAAGAAGCACCGGCUAACUACGUGCCAGCAGCCGCGGUGAUACGUAGGGUGCGAGCGUUGUCCGGAUUUAUUGGGCGUAAAGGGCUCGUAGGUGGUUGAUCGCGUCGGAAGUGUAAUCUUGGGGCUUAACCCUGAGCGUGCUUUCGAUACGGGUUGACUUGAGGAAGGUAGGGGAGAAUGGAAUUCCUGGUGGAGCGGUGGAAUGCGCAGAUAUCAGGAGGAACACCAGUGGCGAAGGCGGUUCUCUGGGCCUUUCCUGACGCUGAGGAGCGAAAGCGUGGGGAGCGAACAGGCUUAGAUACCCUGGUAGUCCACGCUGUAAACGGUGGGUACUAGGUGUGGGGUCCAUUCCACGGGUUCCGUGCCGUAGCUAACGCUUUAAGUACCCCGCCUGGGGAGUACGGCCGCAAGGCUAAAACUCAAAGGAAUUGACGGGGCCCCGCACAAGCGGCGGAGCAUGCGGAUUAAUUCGAUGCAACGCGUAGAACCUUACCUGGGUUUGACAUGGAUCGGGAGUGCUCAGAGAUGGGUGUGCCUCUUUUGGGGUCGGUUCACAGGUGGUGCAUGGCUGUCGUCAGCUCGUGUCGUGAGAUGUUGGGUUAAGUCCCGCAACGAGCGCAACCCUUGUUCACUGUUGCCAGCACGUUAUGGUGGGGACUCAGUGGAGGCCGCCGGGGUCAACUCGGAGGAAGGUGGGGAUGACGUCAAGUCAUCAUGCCCCUUAUGUCCAGGGCUUCACGCAUGCUACAAUGGCUGGUACAGAGAGUGGCGAGCCUGUGAGGGUGAGCGAAUCUCGGAAAGUCGGUCUCAGUUCGGAUUGGGGUCUGCAACUCGACCUCAUGAAGUCGGAGUCGCUAGUAAUCGCAGAUCAGCAACGCUGCGGUGAAUACGUUCCCGGGGC